CAAUAGCGUAUAUUAAAGUUGUUGCAGUUAAAAAGCUCGUAGUCGGAUUUCUGAUCGAGACAUCAGGUCGGGUCCGAGAGGAUCAUGUACUUUGAUUUUGUUUUGAUCAUCCUUGGGGAGAGCAUUUCUGGCAUUCAGUUGUCGGGAUUGGGAUCCUCAUCGUUUACUGUGAAAAAAUUAGAGUGUUCAAAGCAGGCCUCGGCCUCUGAAUACAUUAGCAUGGAAUAAUAAGAUAGGACUUUGGUGGUCUAUUUUGUUGGUUUGCACGCCAAAGUAAUGAUUAAUAGGGAUAGUUGGGGGUAUUCGUAUUCAAUUGUCAGAGGUGAAAUUCUUGGAUUUAUGGAAGACGAACUACUGCGAAAGCAUUUACCAAGGAUGUUUUCAUUAA
rnacentral:rRNA from 1 species